rnacentral:rRNA from 1 species
AAGGAAAGCUUGCUUCUUUCAAAUCUAGUGGCAAACGGGUGAGUAACACGUAAACAACCUGCCUUCAGGAUGGGGACAACAGUUAGAAAUGACUGCUAAUACCGCAUAAGCGCACAGUACCGCAUGGUACAGUGUGAAAAACUCCGGUGGUGUGAGAUGGAUCCGCGUCUGAUUAGCCAGUUGGCGGGGUAACGGCCCACCAAAGCGACGAUCAGUAGCCGACCUGAGAGGAUGAACGGCCACACUGGAACUGAGACACGGUCCAGACUCC